GACAGAGGUGCCAAGCGUUAGGCGGAAUCACUGGGCUUAAAGCGUGUGUAGGCGGAUUCCUAAGUACCUUGUGAAAUCCCACGGCUCAACCGUGGAACUGCUUGGUAUACUGGGUGUCUUGAGCUACUUAGGGGCGACUGGAACAAAUGGUGGAGCGGUGAAAUGCGUAGAUAUCGGGAAGAACACCCGUGGCGAAGGCGGCUACCUGGACAAUUGCUGACGCUCAGGCACGAAAGCGUGGGGAGCAAAAGGG
rnacentral:rRNA from 1 species